rnacentral:rRNA from 1 species
AGUGAACGCUGGCGGCGUGCUUAACACAUGCAAGUCGAACGAGAACGGAUUAUAGCUUGCUAUAAUUGUCAGCUAAGUGGCGCACGGGUGAGUAAUGUAUAGGUAAUAUGCCUCUUACUAAGGGAUAACAAAUGGAAACGUUUGCUAAUACCUUAUACUCCUUAUUAACAGAAGUUAUUAAGGGAAAGAUUUAUUGGUAAGAGAUUAGCCUGUAUUGUAUCAGUUAGUUGGUGAGGUAAUGGCUUACCAAGACUAUGACACAUAACUGGUUUGAGAGGAUGAUCAGUCACACUGGAACUGAGACACGGUCCAGACUCCUACGGGAGGCAGCAGUGGGUAAUAUUGCACAAUGGACGAAAGUCUGAUGCAGCAACGCCGCGUGGAGGAUGACACAUUUCGGUGCGUAAACUCCUUUUAUAUGAGAAGAUAAUGACGGUAUUAUAUGAAUAAGCACCGGCUAACUCCGUGCCAGCAGCCGCAGUAA